rnacentral:misc_RNA from 1 species
CUGCCGCCAGCAGGCUGAGGCGGAGGAGGCUGCCCGCCAGCAGGCCGAGGCGGAGGAGGCUGCCCGCCAGCAGGCUGAGGCGGAGGAGGCUGCCGCAGCAGGCGAGGGGGGGCGCGAGGCGAUGAGGAGGCUGCCCGCCAGCAGGCCGAGGCGGAGGAGGCUGCCCGCCAGCAGGCCGAGGCGGAGGAGGCUGCCCGCCAGCAGGCCGAGGCUGAGGAGGCUGCCCGCCAGCAGGCCGAGGCGGAGGAGGCUGCCCGCCAGCAGGCCGAGGCGUGAGGAGGCUGCCCGCCAGCAGGCCGAGGCGGAGGAGGCUGCCCGCCAGCAGGCCGAGGCUGAGGAGGCUGCCCGCCAGCAG